rnacentral:rRNA from 1 species
CAGCCGCCGCGGUAAUACGUAGGGUGCGAGCGUUAAUCGGAUUUACUGGGCGUAAAGCGUGCGCAGGCGGCCCGUUAAGACAGGUGUGAAAUCCCUGGGCUCAACCUAGGAAUUGCGCUUGUGACUGGCGGGCUCGAGUACGGUAGAGGGGGGUGGAAUUCCUGGUGUAGCAGUGAAAUGCGUAGAGAUCAGGAGGAACACCGAUGGCGAAGGCAGCCCCCUGGGCCUGUACUGACGCUCAUGCACGAAAGCGUGGGGAGCAAACAGGAUUAGAUACCCUGUUAGUCCACGCCCUAAACGAUGGGUACUAGCCGUUUGGUGCGCGAUAGCGCUGAGUGGCGAAGCUAACGCGUGAAGUCCCCCGCCUGGGGAGUACGGCCGCAAGGUUGAAACUUAAAGGAAUUGGCGGG